GAUGAACGCUGGCGGUAUGCUUAACACAUGCCGGUCGAACGGACUCUUCGGAGUUAGUGGCGGACGGGUGAGUAACGCGUGAGAAUCUGGCUUUGGGUUCGGGACAACCACUGGAAACGGUGGCUAAUACCGGAUGUGCCGAGAGGUAAAAGAGAAAUUGCCUGAAGAUGAGCUCGCGUCUGAUUAGCUAGUUGGUGAGGUAAAGGCUCACCAAGGCAGCGAUCAGUAGCUGGUCUGAGAGGAUGACCAGCCACACUGGGACUGAGACACGGCCCAGACUCCUACGGGAGGCAGCAGUGGGGAAUUUUCCGCAAUGGGCGAAAGCCUGACGGAGCAAUACCGCGUGAGGGAAGAAGGCUCUUGGGUUGUAAACCUCUUUUCUUAGGGAAGAACAAAAUGACGGUACCUAAGGAAUCAGCAUCGGCUAACUCCGUG
rnacentral:rRNA from 1 species